AGGUAAUACAUGAUAAAAGACACUAGAUAGGAGUAAUAUAUGAUAGAUAAUACAUGAUUUGAUCCAGAAGCUGAGUGGGAUUCCAGUAUUACAGUGAAAGGGUGGAAGUGACAGAGUACUCUCCUCUCCUCCACUGCAACGCUGUUUCCUCCCUCAGGUACUCUGUCUAUCCCAUCUCUCCACUUCUGUCUUUCAUAGUGGCUUCACUGACUGAUGGCUUUCUCUCGUGUGUGUGUGUGUGUGUGUGUGUGUGUGUGUGUGUGUGUGUGUGUGUGUGUGUGUGUGUGUGUGUGUGUGUGUGUAUUUUUAACUUAAUUUUUUUAAUAUUAUUUUUUUCAGGUUCAAUGGAAGAUGAGGGUCACAUCAAGUCAAACUCCUCCAGCUCAUCGUCUCUGCACAGACAUAUGGACAGACAUCACACCCAGAGGGGUCAUCUCAACUUCUCACCCUUCGGUGCAGGGGCUGCGCUCUAAGGCAGGGGACGCUGGGAGCACCCCUCACGUUUAGGGACGAGGUGAUCCAACAUCUGCGUGGGUGUGGAGGAAACGCGGGUGCUGACCUGGGGGAGGGGCGGGCUGACUGGAGGACCCAACGGGACACCAACGGAACACUACGAAACCCGGACAGUACGCUGGCCUGGGCCAAUAGGAGGUCCUCUCCAUAGUGGAAGAAUGACCGACCGACCACCCCUCUCCUCUCCUCACACAUCCUCUCCUGUCUACACCCUGCCUCCUGCCCCUCCCUCCUGCCCAGGUCUGCCACCCCAUUGGGCAAAGGACAG
rnacentral:lncRNA from 1 species